UACGAAGGGGGCUAGCGUUGCUCGGAAUCACUGGGCGUAAAGCGCACGUAGGCGGAUUGUUAAGUCAGGGGUGAAAUCCUGGAGCUCAACUCCAGAACUGCCUUUGAUACUGGCGAUCUCGAGUCCGGGAGAGGUGAGUGGCAACUGCGAGUGUAGAGGUGAAAUUCGUAGAUAUUCGCAAGAACACCAGUGGCGAAGGCGGACUCACUGGCCCGGUACUGACGCUGAGGUGCGAA
rnacentral:rRNA from 1 species